rnacentral:rRNA from 1 species
CGUAGGCGGCCCGUUAAGUCGGGGGUGAAAUACUUCGGCUCAACCGGAGAAUUGCCUUCGAUACUGGCGGGCUGGAGGAAGGUAGGGGUCGGCGGGAACUGCCAGUGGAGCGGUGAAAUGCGUUGAUAUUGGCAGGAACGCCGGUGGUGAAGACGCGCGGCUGGACCUUUUCUUGACGCUGAUGCACGAAAGCCAGGGGAGCAAAACGG